GCUUUUCUUGACUCAGGUUCAUCCAAAUGUGCAGUGUUCAUCUGACUCGCUCAUCGCCAUGCAGUGGGGCUGCAUGGAUGAAGCUAACAUGUGCCGGGCCUCUUUUGGAAGCUGGUGUUCCCGUCAUGAAGACUCAGAGCCUUGCUUAAGACCAAAGGAGAGCUGGAUGGUAAAGACUCCCUCGAGAAUGGGCAAACGAGUUGCAGAUCAAGUAUCCUGGCCACGAAGACAAGGAGAGGAUCAGGCCUGAAGCUCCAGGCCUGGACACGCCCCGGAGGAGAAAUGAUCCUCGUGUAACCCCGGGACCACAUAGUGAAGAUGGUGGCAUUGCAAGACAGGAAGAGCUUGGGUUCCUGCAAGACUGCAAGAAGCAGUCCCCUCUUUUCCAUGACUAUCUUGGUCUGCGACAGGCUGCAAUGGUUUGAAGGUUUGUCCCCUCUAAAACUCAUGUUGAUAUUUAAUUGCCAUUGUGAUGGUAUUGGAAGGUGGGGCCUUAAGAGAGCUCUGCCCUCAUAAGUGGACUAAUACCAGUUAUCAGGAGUAGGCUCACUCACUUCCACUCUCUUUUUCUUGCUCUCACUCUUGUUAGCCCUUCUGCUUUCCACUAUGGGAUGAUAGAACAAGACGUCCCUCAUAAGAUACUGGCACCUUGAUCUUGGACUUCCCAGCCACUAAGCAACAAGCCAAUAAAACUCUGUUUUUAUUA